UAGAAAUCGUGAGGUCAAGUCCUCUAUCCCAAAAACAUAU
rnacentral:tRNA from 1 species